GGUCACUGCUAUUGGGAUUCGAUUAAGCCAUGCGAGUCGAGAGGGUUCGGCCCUCGGCAGACGGCUCAGUAACACGUGGAUAAUCUGCCCUUAGGUGGAGGAUAACCUCGGGAAACUGAGAAUAAUACUCCAUAGAUCUAGGAUGCUGGAAUGCAUCUAGGUUGAAAGUUCCGGCGCCUAAGGAUGAGUCUGCGGACUAUCAGGCUGUAGUCAGGGUAAAGACCUGACUAACCUACGACGGAUACGGGUUGUGAGAGCAAUAACCCGGAGACGAUAUCUGAGACACGAUAUCGGGCCCUACGGGGCGCAGCAGGCGCGAAACCUUCACACUGUGCGAAAGCGCGAUGAGGGGAUCCCAAGUGCUUGCACGUAAGUGUAAGCUGUUUCUGUGUCUAAAAAGCAUAGAGAGUAAGGGCUGGGUAAGACGGGUGCCAGCCGCCGCGGUAAUACCUGCAGCUCAAGUGGUGACCGCUAUUAUUGGGCCUAAAACGUCCGUAGCCGGUUUAGUAAAUGCCUGGGUAAAUCGUGUAGCUUAACUAUACGAAUUCCGGGUAGACUGCUAAACUUGAGACCGGGAGAGGCUAGAGGUACUUCUGGGGUAGAGGUGAAAUUCUGUAAUCCUAGGGGGACCACCAGUGGCGAAGGCGUCUAGCUAGAACGGGUCUGACGGUGAGGGACGAAGCCCUGGGGCGCAAACCGGAUUAGAUACCCGGGUAGUCCAGGGUGUAAACGCUGCUUGCUUGAUGUUAGUCGGGCUCUGAGCCCGAUUAGUGUCGGAGAGAAGUUGUUAAGCAAGCUGCCUGGGAAGUACGGUCGCAAGGCUGAAACUUAA
rnacentral:rRNA from 1 species